rnacentral:snRNA from 1 species
AUGAUGGCAGGGGCGACGCCGUGAUCACAAAGGUGGUUUUCCCAGGGCAAGGCUCACCCAUUGCACUUUGGAUGCCCCUGUGAUUUACUCAAAUGUGGGAAACUCGAUGGCAUAAUUUGUGCUAGUGGGGGGACUGCAUUCACAGUUUCUCC